rnacentral:rRNA from 1 species
GACGAACGCUGGCGGCGUGCUUAACACAUGCAAGUCGAGCGGUAAGGCCCUUUCGGGGGUACACGAGCGGCGAACGGGUGAGUAACACGUGGGUGACCUGCCCUCAGCUCUGGGAUAAGCCUGGGAAACCGGGUCUAAUACUGGAUAUGACUCCAUGACGCAUGUUGUGGGGUGGAAAGCCUUGUGCGGCUGAGGAUGGGCCCGCGGCCUAUCAGCUUGUUGGUGGGGUGAUGGCCUACCAAGGCGACGACGGGUAGCCGGCCUGAGAGGGCGACCGGCCACACUGGGACUGAGAUACGGCCCAGACUCCUACGGGAGGCAGCAGUGGGGAAUCUUGCGCAAUGGGCGAAAGCCUGACGCAGCGACGCCGCGUGAGGGAUGACGGCCUGGUGUAA